CUGGUCUAAUGACUCUGCGCCGAAAAUGUAACGGGGCUAAGCAUGGUACCGAAGCUUCGGGAUCGCUUAGGCGAUCGGUAGGGGAGCGUUCCCUGCGGGCAGAAGGUGUGCUGUAAGGCAUGCUGGACUGCAGGGAAGUGAUUAUGCUGACAUGAGUAACGAUAAAACAGGUGAAAAACCUGUUCGCCGUAAACCCAAGGUUUCCUGGGUAAAGGUAAUCUUCCCAGGGUUAGUCGGUCCCUAAGGCGAGGGCGAGAGCCGUAGCCGAUGGAAAACGGGUUAAUAUUCCCGUACUUGCGCGUGUGUGCGAUGGAGGGACGCAGGAAGGUAGGCAGGCCGGCUGUUGGCUUAGCCGGUGCAAGCAGGUAGGCUUGAGGGUAGGCAAAUCCGCCCUCUUCAAGGCCGAGACGCGAGUCCGUGACCGCAAGGUCUGAAGCUGUUGAGCCUCUACUGCCUAGAAAAGCUCCUAAGUUUAGCGCGUGCGAACCGUACCGGAAACCAACACAGGUGGGUGGGGUGAAUAACCCAAGGCGCUCGAGAGAACUCUGGCCAAGGAACUCGGCAAAAUAACCCCGUAACUUCGGAAGAAGGGGUGCUCUUAUGGGUGAAGGAUUUACUCUCUAAGCCCGCGAGAGCCGCAGAGAAAUGAGGGUGGCGACUGUUUACUAAAAACAUAGGUCUCUGCUAAGUCGCAAGACGACGUAUAGGGACUGACGCCUGCCCGGUGCCGGAAGGUUAAGAGGAGAGGUCAGCGCAAGCGAAGCUUUGAAUCGAAGCCCCGGUAAACGGCGGCCGUAACUAUAACGGUCCUAAGGUAGCGAAAUUCCUUGUCGGGUAAGUUCCGACCUGCACGAAUGGCGUAACGAUCUCCCUACUGUCUCGGCCAGAGACUCGGUGAAAUUGAAGUCGCGGUGAAAAUGCCGUGUACCCGCAGAAAGACGGAAAGACCCUGUGCACCUUUACUAUAGCUUGACAUUGGGUUUUGGGCUUGCAUGUGUAGGAUAGGUGGGAGGCUGUGAACUCUGUACGCCAGUAUGGGGGGAGCCACCGUUGAAAUACCACCCUUGCAAGUCUAAGGCUCUAAUCCAUACCCGUUACCCGGGGUGGAGACAGUGUCUGGUGGGUAGUUUGACUGGGGCGGUCGCCUCCCAAACAAUAACGGAGGCACGCAAAGGUUCCCUCAGCCUGAUCGGAAACCAGGCGUCGAGUGCAAACGCAUAAGGGAGCUUGACUGCAAGACAGACAUGUCGAGCAGGGACGAAAGUCGGCGUUAGUGAUCCGGUGGUUCCGCAUGGAAGGGCCAUCGCUCAUUGGAUAAAAGGUACGCCGGGGAUAACAGGCUGAU
rnacentral:rRNA from 1 species